CCAGUACAGGAAUUACGUUUCCUCUUCGCCGGUCUCUAAGCUGAUAUUGGUGUGGUUUGUAUUUUUGUUGUUGAUGGAAAUGGAAGCCCUGUAGUCGAAGUAUAACUCUUUAUCUUUCCAUAGUCAGUCUAGCCAAUUAUUGAAUGUAUUUGUGUUGGGGGCGUUGUGUCGUUACCGACUGAAAAGUGUAAAAUUUAUCUCUCCCACUAAAGGGUAGCCGCGGUGCACUCUGGGAGACAUUACCAUGCGGCGGUAACUUGCAGCACUGAUCGAGGAAGACACACAGGAGGAUCCUAAGCGUCGCUGAAAUCCAUCUUGUCACGCUAAAUUACUGACAGUCAUGGCUUCAAAACCUGGCCCCUCCAGUAAUGGAACAAAACAUUCUAUUAAAACUAAGGUUCAACCAAAGUGUGAGAUCUACAAACAAAACAACCUCGUAUUAUUAUGUCAGGACUGUAAAAUGUUAAUCUGUACAAAGUGUUCUAUCAAUGGUCAUCAACAGCAUACAGACAGCGUACUGGAUAUAUCUGAAAUCAAAACACAGCAAAACCAAAUACUUCAGGAUGUCAUUAAUGAGACGGACAAUGUAAAUAUUCCAAAAUUAAACCAGGAAAUUAUAUCGUCUCGAACAAAAACGUCUUCAUGUAAACCUCCGUAUGAAAAACUUUGUAAAAACAUCAUGGACAAUAAUAACAAAUGUAAGUUACAGCUAGACAAACUUAUAGAGGAUUAUAUAUCAAUUUGUGAUAAGAUGGAGGUGGCGGACACGGACCUCAUCCAGACCCACAUCACACACCAGGAGCGGAUGCUGAAAACUUUGAGGGAACUCUCAUCAGAGUAUAAACAGACUCUCCACACAGGAACUGGUGUACUCGUGUAUGACUCUGUAUCAGAAAUCUGGGAAAUUGAUCCAGACAUCCUACUGAUACCUGAUAUAGAGACAUAGUUUACUCCGGGUAUGGACAGACUAAGUCACCUGAAACAGGCCAUUGGAACCUAAAACUUACUACUGACCAUCUCCAGACAGGAUCGGCAACUAGUGGUCACUCCGACCAAUUACCAGUAGUCGGACCAAACCAGUCUACAGAGGCUGGUCAAUUGUCCGCUGUAACAGCCGGGUACAAACUUUGUGACCGUCCCACCGUCAUGUCCCAGUUCUUCUACCCAAAUGACAUCGCAUCGAUCUGUCCUACAUCUGACGGACUUGCGUGGCUGUGUGAUAGGACCGACACAGUAAAUCACCAACAAAGGUCGGGUCAUACAGGCGAUAAAAUACAACAGUCAGGAACAUCAGUCUGGACCCCGCCACACAACAGUAUGAUCAGGAACAUCAGUCUGGACCCCGCCACACAACAGUACGAUCAGGAACAUCAGUCUGGACCCCGCCACACAACAGUACGAUCAGGAACAUCAGUCUGGACCCCGCCACACAACAGUACGAUCAGGAACAUCAGUGUGGACCCCGCCACACAACAGUACGAUCAGGAACAUCAGUCUGGACCCCGCCA